GGCUGCAACUCGCCCACAUGAAGCUGGAUUCGGUAGUAAUCGCGUGUCACAAGCGCGCGGUGAAUACGUCCCUGCUCCUUGCACACACCGCCCGUCAAAGCACCCGAGUGAGGUCCGGAUGAGGCGUUCCACGAACGUCGAAUCUGGGCUUCGCAAGGGGGCUUAAGUCGUAACAAGGUAGCCGUAGGGGAAUCUGCGGCUGGAUCACCUCCA
rnacentral:rRNA from 1 species